rnacentral:lncRNA from 1 species
ACAAGUACAUUAGUUCUGUUAAAAUCGGAACGGCGAAAAAUAGAUCCAGAAAAUAACUUAAUGCAAGAAAAGAAAAGAUAAGCGGAAAGAACACACCGAUAAUUACGUGGUUCGGCCAACGGCCUACGUCCACGGGCGAAGACGGAGCAAAUACUUUAUUAAUGUCGAAAAAAGCGGAGUACAAGAAAAUCUCUCAAAAGACCAAAACUUAAUUAGAUCCGAAACGCCG